rnacentral:snoRNA from 1 species
AAGCAGCUAAUUCAACUAACUCCCUUAUGGCACCCAGUGUACAAAGGUUGCAAAUAGCAGCCUCCUGGAUUAUCUAUGCAGCCUGCAGCUUAAAUGGGUUGCCCCCUGAUGCUUGGACACACUU